UACGUAGGGAGCAAGCGUUGUCCGGAAUCAUUGGGCGUAACGCGCGCGUAGGUGGCCACAUAAGUCCGUUGUGAAAGUCAAAGGCUCAACCUUUGAAAGCCGAUGGAUACUGUGUGGCUAGAGUACGGAAGAGGCGAGUGGAAUUCCUGGUGUAGCGGUGGAAUGCGCAGAUAUCAGGAGGAACACCAAUAGCGAAGGCAGCUCGCUGGGACGUUACUGACACUGAGGCGCGAAAGCGUGGGGAGCGAACAGG
rnacentral:rRNA from 1 species